UACGUAGGGGGCAAGCGUUGUCCGGAUUUAUUGGGCGUAAAGAGCGUGUAGGCGGCCUGGAAGGUCAGCUGUGAAAACUCGAGGCUCAACCUCGAGACGUCGGUUGAAACCACCUGGCUAGAGUCCGGAAGAGGAGAGUGGAAUUCCCGGUGUAGCGGUGAAAUACGUAGAGAUUGGGAAGAACACCAGUGGCGAAGGCGGCUAUCUGGACGGUUUCUGACACUAAAACUCGAAAGCGUGGGGAGCAAACAGG
rnacentral:rRNA from 1 species